CUCAGGAAGGAAGAUUGUUUUGAUUUAUCUCCUCCUUUCUUUUAUAAACAUGGGCCAGGUGUCUGAAUUGGCAGCAGCCAGAUUCUUAAACAGUGAAGCAGUAAGACCACGUGGGACAGAAAAGGACCUAGAAGCAGCCUGGGAACUUGGUGCAGGACGACUUUCUGUGUUUAAUUAUAAGCAACACAGACUGGUCUGAGCUUGCAUCACCUAUUGGACACUAACCUGAUGUAUAAUCCAAGGCAACCACUUACCUGUACUUCGGAUUCUUCACAUGUAAAUUAUUUCUCCAACUUCUUGGACUGCCUAAGUCAUCUUCCAGGAUUUUUACAAGUUUGUCCUAAUUCCUGCUAUUCAAGAGAAACAGACUUUUCUUUGUUACAUGUGUGUCUAUUUUCUGCAUAAGAUUUUGGAUGCAGGAAGAGAACUUCAAGCCGG
rnacentral:lncRNA from 13 species